rnacentral:rRNA from 1 species
GGGGAAUAUUGGACAAUGGGCGCAAGCCUGAUCCAGCAAUGCCGCGUGGGUGAAGAAGGUCUUCGGAUUGUAAAGCCCUUUUGGCAGGGACGAUGAUGACGGUACCUGCAGAAUAAGCCCCGGCUAACUUCGUGCCAGCAGCCGCGGUAAUACGAAGGGGGCUAGCGUUGCUCGGAAUGACUGGGCGUAAAGGGCGCGUAGGCGGUUGGUACAGUCAGAUGUGAAAUUCCUGGGCUUAACCUGGGGGCUGCAUUUGAUACGUGCUGGCUUGAGUGGGGAAGAGGGUCGUGGAAUUCCCAGUGUAGAGGUGAAAUUCGUAGAUAUUGGGAAGAACACCGGUGGCGAAGGCGGCGACCUGGUCCUUUACUGACGCUGAGGCGCGAAAGCGUGGGGAGCAAA